rnacentral:rRNA from 1 species
GUCUACGGCCAUGCUACCCUGAACAAGCCCGAUCCCAUCUGAUCUCGGAAGCUAAGCAGGGUCGGGCCUGGUUAGUACUUGGAUGGGAGACCACCUAGGAAGACCAGUUGCUGUAGGAU